AACGAACGCUGGCGGCAGGCCUAACACAUGCAAGUCGAGCGGAGCGAGGGUGCUUGCACCUUAGCUUAGCGGCGGACGGGUGAGUAAUGCUUAGGAAUCUGCCUAUUAGUGGGGGACAACAUUCCGAAAGGGAUGCUAAUACCGCAUACGCCCUACGGGGGAAAGCAGGGGAUCUUCGGACCUUGCGCUAAUAGAUGAGCCUAAGUCGGAUUAGCUAGUUGGUGGGGUAAAGGCCUACCAAGGCGACGAUCUGUAGCGGGUCUGAGAGGAUGAUCCGCCACACUGGGACUGAGACACGGCCCAGACUCCUACGGGAGGCAGCAGUGGGGAAUAUUGGACAAUGGGCGGAAGCCUGAUCCAGCCAUGCCGCGUGUGUGAAGAAGGCCUUUUGGUUGUAAAGCACUUUAAGCGAGGAGGAGGCUCUUAAGGUUAAUACCCUUGAUGAGUGGACGUUACUCGCAGAAUAAGCACCGGCUAACUCUGUGCCAGCAGCCGCAGUAACAC
rnacentral:rRNA from 1 species